rnacentral:rRNA from 1 species
UACGUAGGGUGCAAGCGUUGUCCGGAAUUAUUGGGCGUAAAGAGCUCGUAGGCGGCUUGUCGCGUCGGCUGUGAAAACCCGAGGCUCAACCUCGGGCCUGCAGUGGGUACGGGCAGACUAGAGUGCGGUAGGGGAGAUUGGAAUUCCUGGUGUAGCGGUGGAAUGCGCAGAUAUCAGGAGGAACACCAAUGGCGAAGGCAGAUCUCUGGGCCGUAACUGACGCUGAGGAGCGAAAGCAUGGGGAGCGAACAGG